rnacentral:lncRNA from 1 species
CACAACUGUGACGUACAUACUGAAUCUCAAAACGUUUAUGCAUGCGAAUUCUCCGGCAUCACGAUCGCUCACGGAAAUUGUAAAAGAUGGACAAAAGGAGUGCUACGAAUAGAAUGUUCAGGAUUUGUUCCUGCUCAACGAAACUACGGACAGACUGUAAAAGGUUAGUGAAUUUUAUUUACUUAUGGUGUCACUGUUGUCUGAUGUGAUCUGAUGAGAAACUUCAUAACUUUUUAAUUUUAUUAAUAAGAACUGUUUUAUUUGUAAUUUUAUAAAUUAAAAAGUUUGAAAAAUGGAAUACAUAAAAGAAAUAAAGAAAAGAAGAAAAAAAUAACCGUACUCCCGUGUGUACGUUGGUAUCGUUAAAAUAACGUUGAAUCACGUCACAACUAUUGUUCCACUGUUUCUACAUAGUUACGCCAAAAGAUCGUGCAUAAAGUCGCUCCAAAUUUCACUGCUUAAUAUUUCUUCUAAACCUUGAAAAUGUUGCAAAAACUUGCAGAUUUCUGGACUUAUAAAGAUUGGGAAGUUUUGCAAGUAAGUUUAUUUUUUGAAAUUAGAAAUAAAAUUUCCCGUUUUAUUCACUAAUUAAUAAAAUUUGCUUUCUGAGGGAUGUACGCCUCGGCCACCUUCUUCUUCCACAGCUUAAACCAUAAAAUCACGCUAUUUUUACCUUUAUUAUAGUUUGUUAGCCAAAAUAAUUUAUGGUUUCCAUAUAUAAAUGCAUCAAAACAGUUUUUCAUGUUUUACGUUUUCAAUGCAAAGCAGCGCGGUGUAAAAGGGGGAUGUUGGCCAUGGAUAAAUGUCUGCUUUACGUCCAGCGGCAAAUUAAAUGCAAGUUUUAGUCUAAUAUGAAUGUUGACAAUGCAUGGAAUAAAUAUACUAUUUUCUUUGAUUUGAAGAACGUGUCGUCUUAUUUUUAACACGUAUACUAUAAUGAAUGACUUGUCUUGAAAAUCAGCGCUUAUACACAAUAGACCACUUGUCCUUAAUUCUAAUCUCCAAUUUUUAAAAAGUUUUGUAAGCCAUACUAUCUUUAGAAGACAGAUGAAUUACAUGUAUUUUCUAAAUCUAUGCAUUAACCCUUUUUUAUGCAUUUAGGUUGUGCAUCCAUUUAAUCUGCGUCUGGGUUACUUUAUUUCUAUAUUAUAUUUCGGUAUUUCUUUUGCAGACGAAAGAAAAGAGACCAAGAUUCGGUCCGUUGCAAAAAGUCCAAUUUUCCUCUUCUGAUAAACCAACACCGGUAGAAUGGCUGAGUGGGACUAUAAAACAUCAAGAUUCAGUUAGAUUCGCCGGUGGGUCGGGAGAGCCUGUGAAUAACACCAACAAAGUUUUGGUGAGGAUCUUUGUUUAAAAAUAGAUAGUGCAUCGCAUAUGCAUAAGGGUGUAAUUAUGAAAAAAAAUUCUCUACACCCACUUGAUGAAAUCCAAAGCGAUUGAGUACCACUUUUACUGCAGUUCUUCACCCUUAAGACAAAUCGAUGCUUUUGCAACGGAGUACAACUCCAAAAAUUCUUACCUCAUUUCAAAUCGGUACUUCGUGUUUGUAUUGCAAAUACACGUUUACGAAUAUACAAAAAGUGGUAUGAUUGCCAAUAAGACAACACACCAACUAGAGACCAAAAAGUCGAAAGUUUAAAUAUCUAUGUAUGGUCAUAAAAAAAAAACUUUUAACAAUGGACAGAAGUGAUAGUACCAUCAAGGAUUAGCAUAAACCUAUUUUUUUUCAAACUGUAACUAUGAUCGCUUCAAAAUAUUCAAAUCAGAUUGACAUUAAAGCUGUCAUUUUAUUAAGAUUUUGAUUGAAUGAUAUUUUUUAUUUUUGCAGGAUGCUGAUUUCAAGAAACUUCCCAAUACUUCUAAUGUUCAACAAUCAAAUACUAACGAGGUAAGUAAAAUUAGGCUUAUUAAUAGUAUAUGGAGAUACAUUUGUGACUAAACAAGUAAACUUUUAACAAGUUGUUUCCCCCCUUUUGAUAUACCACCAAAAAGGUGACAGAACUUUCGGGAUCUACACAAGGUUAAAAUCAGGUACUUUUUGUCAACUAUGCAGAAUAUCAACUUACAAAAUCUAUCUUUUUACGGUCUACAUAGAGUAUUACAAAAAAUACAUUUUGUUUCAGAAUACUGACAAUGUUGCACCAGGAUUCUUCAAUAUACAAAAUUGGAGAGAGACUUUUGAAAGGAAAAUGCAGGUAUUUAUUGAUACAAACUUUAAAUUAAAAACUACCGUAAAACACAGACUGCAUAAAUCUGUCGCAAUUUGAUUUAUAAUUUUGAGCCUUAAAUUUUUUUUUUUUACUUGGUUGGGCACUAUAAAGGUCUAGGUUUGAGUACGUUCAUUUCUUCUUUUUCUUUUGUUGUUUUUUGUAUAAAAAAGAAGAUGUGGUAUGAUUGCCAAUGAGACAACUAUCCACAAAAGACCAAAAUGACACAGACAUUAACAACUAUAGAUCACCGUACGGCCUUCAACAAUGAGCAAAGCCCAUUUUGUCCUACUCUUGAUUUGUUUUAUCCAAUUAUUUUCUAUUCUUUUUAUAAUUUGGCACCCCAUUAUUCUCUAUUCUUGAUUUUUUUGGCCAAUUUUUCUCCUUUCUUUAUGCUUUAAACAUAUAUCACUUGAAACUAAGUAAGGGGAUGGUACCAAUAUAAUAUCAAAGUCAUCAAUCAAAAGGAAAAUGCCACAAUGACAUGCAAUAACAUAAUGACCGGUAUGAAUUAAUGUUUAAAUGUUCUGAGGAUUAUUUCAAAUGAAAUCGAAUAACGAGUGACAACUUUGAUUUUAGAUACCAACAUAUACUGGUUUCUGCACUUCAUACACCGAUUAUUCAGACCAUCUUGAUUCUCACUGCAAAGACGUCUCCCUCGAGGACAACCAAUCAAAUCAAGAGGACCUUUACUGGAAACAAGAAUCAUAUUACCGGUCUGCACAGGAAAUCAGAGAACAUAACAGGAACUCCGAUAAAUCGAAGCUAAAUAUCACUUCCGGAAUAGAUAUCGAUAUAGCAGAUAUUGCUGCUCAGCUGAUGAAAGGAGAUUCUGUUCUUGAUGUCGUAGACAAAAUGGCUGCCAAAGACGACUGGAAAAGCAAAAUAAGUUUCAGUAAAACUGAUUUUCAAAGUCAGCCAUCCAAAACAAGAACCUUGAAAUUAAACGACUGCUCUGAGGUUGUCGUUAACCUAAUUGAGAAGACCCAUCCGAUGCUUCAUAAGAAACCGAUUUCCAACACCAAGACUCCAUGUCAUACGCCAUUUUUACCAGUUCAUCGACAAAACGCUUUUAAUCAGAUUCCGAUUUCUACAGACUCACUCCUUCAAAGGUCAAACGUCAAACUAAACUUCUUGUCUACAAAGCAGAGAGCAGAUCCAUCCAUCCCACUUUUUCGAUCAAAAUCAGACUGUGAGGUGAACUUCAGCAACAUCUGGGACUGUAUGCAUCAGCGUUUUGUCGUUUGCUCUGCAUACGAAAAUAGAAGGACAACAAUGGAAGUACCAGUUUAUAUAUCUGCAUCAUUGGUAUCUGUACAAACAGCAGUAGUCCCCGAAAACCGCAAAAGAAAGGCUUCAACAACAUGCACUAAUCAACCAGCUGCAAAACGUCAAAAUAGUUAUAAUAAAAAAACUCACGUGGCAUCUCGACUGAAGCAGGUUGCAUCAUCAUCAUGUAAUGACCUUUUUGCUACACCACUAUUUAUUCCAUCCAAGCUUGACCAGGCUGCUUAUUUUUCAUCUACAAAGAAAUCGUCAGCAACAUACAGACAUCAAUGAGGACAAAUAUGACAAUUCUAAGCUCAACUGUGAUAAAUUAAUAUGACAAUUCUAAUCUCAUCUGUGAUAAAUUAAUAUGACAAUACGGG